GGUGGCAUAGUGGUUAAAGUGGUCGGCUGCUAACCGAAAGAUUGGUGGUUCGAACCCACCAGCCA
rnacentral:tRNA from 1 species